rnacentral:rRNA from 1 species
ACAGCCAUACCAUGCUGAAAACACCGGUUCUCGUCCGAUCACCGAAGUUAAGCAUCAUCGGGCGUGGUCAGUACUUGGGAGGAUGGCACCUGGGAACACUGCGUGCCGUU